UACGGGGGGGGCAAGCGUUGUUCGGAUUUACUGGGCGUAAAGGGCGCGUAGGCGGUCGUGACAAGUCACUUGUGAAAUCUCCGGGCUUAACUCGGAACGGUCAAGUGAUACUGUCGGACUAGAGUACAGAAGGGGCAACUGGAAUUCUCGGUGUAGCGGUGAAAUGCGUAGAUAUCGAGAGGAACACCUGCGGCGAAGGCGGGUUGCUGGGCCGGAACUGACGCUGAGGAGCGAAAGCGUGGGGAGCGAACAGG
rnacentral:rRNA from 1 species